rnacentral:lncRNA from 1 species
CCCACUUUGCUCGACACUUCUCCUUCCUGCAGCCUGUGAAGAAGGUGCCUUGCUUCCUCUUUGCCUUCCACCAUGAUUAUAAGUUUCCUGAAGCCCCCAGCCAUGCUGAACUGUAUGAGAAAUGCAGCCCAGAGUGACUAAAUGAUGGAUCCAUGGUCACCUAGCACAUGACAUGCAGAGCUGGACUAGACCUGAGGAAUGAAGUUUUGUGACAAGAUUGAGUCUUAUGGCAGUGCUGACUGAGGACGAGACCAGGAAUUAUAUAACUAUGAGGAUGCUGGUGGCUAAAUUGAGGAGACACCUUACCAAGACCUCAUUUAUUUUAACACUUCCUGGGAGACCUUUAUUGUCAAACUCGACCAGAUUUAUUCAACAAACAGCAAUUCGAGAAAGCAGUGGAAAAGAGCUGAGUCACAGUGAAAGUGACAUUUCCCUUUGCAGCUGAAGAAACCACCGGCUGUGAUUAACUGCUUGACUAGUCCUCCAGUGUGAAGGAUCACAGUGGGAUCAAGAAGGCUUGGCUGGGCUAUGAGAAAGAAAAGAACUGAAUCAAAUUGGAGCUUGGGAAACUCAGUUCACAGGAUCCCCUAAAAGUUACAAAUGUCACAAGUGUGAGUGACCAUUCAUUUACUUAAUCAGGC